rnacentral:lncRNA from 1 species
GACGAACCCAAGGGUUGCCACCACUCAGAGGAGCACAGCAGGAUUAGCCCCACACAGGUGAAAAGAAAGUGAAUGGUUCUUUCUGUGAGCAGAUUUUCUUUCUAAAACAAUGCCUCCUGCAGCUAAAGGAGGAAAAGAGGAAACCAACAAUACCAACAGCUAGGGGAAGAGAUAGGUGAGGUCUCUGUUUUCUGAUGAGGAAGCUAAGCCUUGGAAGCCAGGCUUCAAACCUAGCGGGGGCAUAAUGAUCUUUCCAGUGUACAUUUUUGCUUUUGCAAAUUAGAAGAGUUAUUAAGUUUAUGAGUCAGUAUCAUGAAGAUCAAGAUGAUAUCUAAAAGGUUACUGGCAUGCAGUUUCCAUAAUAUUGCUAGAAGACAAGACUGAAUCAUAGCCUCCCAGGAACAGAAGAAACCUCAAAAGUUAUCGAGGCUGUUGUUUGGCAGCAACUGGAGCUACGUCCAAGCUGAUACUUCUAAAGCUGCUGUGCUCAUAACUAGGGAAGCAGAAGAGGAGAUCGUCCUCCUGCCCUGGCAACCAGGGAUGAUGGCACGUGCCUAGGCUCAAGCAUGGCAAUUCUCCCAUCCAGAACUUGGAAUCUUCGGGGUUCUCACUUCACAGAGCUGAUAGUGUGAGAUCUCAAAGAAACUGCCAUGAGAGUCCUUUUCAUAUUAAGUUAACCAGACUUGAUUUCUGUAGCUUGCAAUCAAGAAUCUUAACUGAUGCCAAAAGAGUGAGGAAUUUUGAAAAACACUGACAUGCCAUUUCAGAUUAAACAAACAGACAUGCAAACAAGCACAGAAGAACUGUGAGCACAGUUCCAAAGCAAUGAGACAGAUUUUCACAAAUGCGUAUUCUUUCUGCAGUGAGGACUACAGCAAAUCUCAGAGGUCACAAUGUUGGGAGAGCUCUUAAGAGGUCAUGUACUUUAGGCCCGGCGUGACGGCUCAUGCCUAUAAUCCCAGCACUUUUGGAGGCCGAGGUGGGCUGAUCAUUUGAGUCCAGGUGUUCAAGACCAGCCUGGCCAACACGGCAAAACCCCAUCUCUACAAAAUAUACAAAAAUUAGCCAGGCAUGGUGGCAGGUGCCCUGUAAUCCCAGCUACUCAGGAGGCUGAGGCACAAGAAUCGCCUGAACCCGGGAGGCGGAGGUUGCAGCGAGAUGAGAUCCUGCCACUGCACUCCAGCCUAGGUGACAGAGCCAGACUCUGUCUCAAAAAAAAAAAAAAAAAAAAAAAUUGGUCAUGUACUUCAGUCUUCGGUGCAAAGAUUCUUCAGACACCUAGCAUUUUAGAGUGUGAAAAGAAACAAGAAAUCGUCAGGAAACAAAUAAACAAAAAACCUUCAUUUGCUGAUAAGAAAACCUCUGCCGAGAACAAAGUUCUUUUCCCGAUCAUAUCAGGAGUAAUAAAGGAUCAGAAAGCAGGCAUUUAAACUUGCAGUCGAGGGACCCUUUUAUCAUAGCUGGCAGCUUCUUGGAAUUCAGUUCAAGAGGCUUUCUCAUGCCUUGGUUGUAGGAAGACCAGACUCUCCCUUCACAAGGUAUAAAAGUUUUAUCCUGUAUCAAUGCCACAGUGGUCUGAGGCUGUCUGGCUCAUUUAUUGAGACUAAUGUAUUGAUGAAGCCAAGGUCAUACACUUGAGUCAGGAAAGAGCUGUCCAUUUGGCUCAGGAUGCAUGGUAGAGUGUGGAGAUGUUGUCCAGCCAUGCUGUAAAAAUGGGACCCUGCCAGGGGUUGGGAGGGGCUGGGGAGGAGUAUGUGAAUAUCUCCGUAAAUCCAUUACUGCUGCUCAGAACACAGGGCAGAAGCACGCUCCCAGCGGGGCUGAGAUGAAGGCAAUGGCGUCAGCUUUAUGUAGAACAGCUGUAAUUUAGACUCUGCUUUAGAAAACAAAGUGUAUUUGGCCCCAAACAGUGAAGAAUUCUAUUUUGCUAAACAAAACAGCCUUGCCGUUUAGGAAACAUCCUUUCUCUUAGGGUAAAUGCCAGAUGCUUCUUCAC